rnacentral:rRNA from 1 species
AGAUUGAACGCUGGCGGCAUGCUUUACACAUGCAAGUCGAACGGCAGCGCGGGGCAACCUGGCGGCGAGUGGCGAACGGGUGAGUAAUAUAUCGGAACGUACCCAAGAGUGGGGGAUAACGUAGCGAAAGUUACGCUAAUACCGCAUACGAUCUAAGGAUGAAAGCGAGGGGACCGCAAGGCCUUGUGCUCCUGGGACGCGGCCGAUAUCUGAUUAGCUAGUUGGUAGGGUAAAGCCUACAAGCUACGAUCAGUAGCUGGUCUGAGAGGACGACCAGCCACACUGGACUGAGACACGGUCCAGACUCCACGGGAGCAGCAGUGGGAAUUUUGGACAAGUGGGCGCAAGCCUGAUCCAGCAAUGCCGCGUGAGUGAAGA